rnacentral:rRNA from 1 species
GGGUUGUGAGGUUAAGCGACUAAGCGUACACGGUGGAUGCCCUGGCAGUCAGAGGCGAUGAAGGACGUGCUAAUCUGCGAUAAGCGUCGGUAAGGUGAUAUGAACCGUUAUAACCGGCGAUUUCCGAAUGGGGAAACCCAGUGUGAUUCGUCACACUAUCAUUAACUGAAUCCAUAGGUUAAUGAGGCGAACCGGGGGAACUGAAACAUCUAAGUACCCCGAGGAAAAGAAAUCAACCGAGAUUCCCCCAGUAGCGGCGAGCGAACGGGGAGGAGCCCAGAGCCUGAAUCAGUGUGUGUGUUAGUGGAAGCGUCUGGAAAGGCGCGCGAUACAGGGUGACAGCCCCGUACACAAAAAUGCACAUAUUGUGAGCUCGAUGAGUAGGGCGGGACACGUGGUAUCCUGUCUGAAUAUGGGGGGACCAUCCUCCAAGGCUAAAUACUCCUGACUGACCGAUAGUGAACCAGUACCGUGAGGGAAAGGCGAAAAGAACCCCGGCGAGGGGAGUGAAAAAGAACCUGAAACCGUGUACGUACAAGCAGUGGGAGCACGCUUAGGCGUGUGACUGCGUACCUUUUGUAUAAUGGGUCAGCGACUUAUAUUCUGUAGCAAGGUUAACCGAAUAGGGGAGCCGAAGGGAAACCGAGUCUUAACUGGGCGUUAAGUUGCAGGGUAUAGACCCGAAACCCGGUGAUCUAGCCAUGGGCAGGUUGAAGGUUGGGUAACACUAACUGGAGGACCGAACCGACUAAUGUUGAAAAAUUAGCGGAUGACUUGUGGCUGGGGGUGAAAGGCCAAUCAAACCGGGAGAUAGCUGGUUCUCCCCGAAAGCUAUUUAGGUAGCGCCUCGUGAAUUCAUCUCCGGGGGUAGAGCACUGUUUCGGCAAGGGGGUCAUCCCGACUUACCAACCCGAUGCAAACUGCGAAUACCGGAGAAUGUUAUCACGGGAGACACACGGCGGGUGCUAACGUCCGUCGUGAAGAGGGAAACAACCCAGACCGCCAGCUAAGGUCCCAAAGUCAUGGUUAAGUGGGAAACGAUGUGGGAAGGCCCAGACAGCCAGGAUGUUGGCUUAGAAGCAGCCAUCAUUUAAAGAAAGCGUAAUAGCUCACUGGUCGAGUCGGCCUGCGCGGAAGAUGUAACGGGGCUAAACCAUGCACCGAAGCUGCGGCAGCGACGCUUAUGCGUUGUUGGGUAGGGGAGCGUUCUGUAAGCCUGUGAAGGUGUGCUGUGAGGCAUGCUGGAGGUAUCAGAAGUGCGAAUGCUGACAUAAGUAACGAUAAAGCGGGUGAAAAGCCCGCUCGCCGGAAGACCAAGGGUUCCUGUCCAACGUUAAUCGGGGCAGGGUGAGUCGACCCCUAAGGCGAGGCCGAAAGGCGUAGUCGAUGGGAAACAGGUUAAUAUUCCUGUACUUGGUGUUACUGCGAAGGGGGGACGGAGAAGGCUAUGUUGGCCGGGCGACGGUUGUCCCGGUUUAAGCGUGUAGGCUGGUUUUCCAGGCAAAUCCGGAAAAUCAAGGCUGAGGCGUGAUGACGAGGCACUACGGUGCUGAAGCAACAAAUGCCCUGCUUCCAGGAAAAGCCUCUAAGCAUCAGGUAACAUCAAAUCGUACCCCAAACCGACACAGGUGGUCAGGUAGAGAAUACCAAGGCGCUUGAGAGAACUCGGGUGAAGGAACUAGGCAAAAUGGUGCCGUAACUUCGGGAGAAGGCACGCUGAUAUGUAGGUGAGGUCCCUCGCGGAUGGAGCUGAAAUCAGUCGAAGAUACCAGCUGGCUGCAACUGUUUAUUAAAAACACAGCACUGUGCAAACACGAAAGUGGACGUAUACGGUGUGACGCCUGCCCGGUGCCGGAAGGUUAAUUGAUGGGGUCAGCGCAAGCGAAGCUCUUGAUCGAAGCCCCGGUAAACGGCGGCCGUAACUAUAACGGUCCUAAGGUAGCGAAAUUCCUUGUCGGGUAAGUUCCGACCUGCACGAAUGGCGUAAUGAUGGCCAGGCUGUCUCCACCCGAGACUCAGUGAAAUUGAACUCGCUGUGAAGAUGCAGUGUACCCGCGGCAAGACGGAAAGACCCCGUGAACCUUUACUAUAGCUUGACACUGAACAUUGAGCCUUGAUGUGUAGGAUAGGUGGGAGGCUUUGAAGUGUGGACGCCAGUCUGCAUGGAGCCGACCUUGAAAUACCACCCUUUAAUGUUUGAUGUUCUAACGUUGACCCCUAAUCGGGGUUGCGGACAGUGUCUGGUGGGUAGUUUGACUGGGGCGGUCUCCUCCUAAAGAGUAACGGAGGAGCACGAAGGUUGGCUAAUCCUGGUCGGACAUCAGGAGGUUAGUGCAAUGGCAUAAGCCAGCUUGACUGCGAGCGUGACGGCGCGAGCAGGUGCGAAAGCAGGUCAUAGUGAUCCGGUGGUUCUGAAUGGAAGGGCCAUCGCUCAACGGAUAAAAGGUACUCCGGGGAUAACAGGCUGAUACCGCCCAAGAGUUCAUAUCGACGGCGGUGUUUGGCACCUCGAUGUCGGCUCAUCACAUCCUGGGGCUGAAGUAGGUCCCAAGGGUAUGGCUGUUCGCCAUUUAAAGUGGUACGCGAGCUGGGUUUAGAACGUCGUGAGACAGUUCGGUCCCUAUCUGCCGUGGGCGCUGGAGAACUGAGGGGGGCUGCUCCUAGUACGAGAGGACCGGAGUGGACGCAUCACUGGUGUUCGGGUUGUCAUGCCAAUGGCACUGCCCGGUAGCUAAAUGCGGAAGAGAUAAGUGCUGAAAGCAUCUAAGCACGAAACUUGCCCCGAGAUGAGUUCUCCCUGACUCCUUGAGAGUCCUGAAGGAACGUUGAAGACGACGACGUUGAUAGGCCGGGUGUGUAAGCGCAGCGAUGCGUUGAGCUAACCGGUACUAAUGAACCGUGAGGCUUAACCUUACAACGCCGAAGCUGUU